ensembl:lincRNA 4930448I06Rik RIKEN cDNA 4930448I06 gene
GUUGAGGAAGUUGUCUCCUAUACCAAGGGGUUCAAGGCUAUUUGCCCCUUUCUGUUAUAGUAGGUUUAGAGUAUCUGGCUUUCCAUUUCCAUGGUCGUUGAUCCAUUUACUUGAGUUUUGUGAACAGUGAUAGAUAUGGAUCUAUUUGUAUUCUACAUGCACAAAUCCGGUUAGACCAGCACCAUUUGUUGAAGAUACUUUCUUUAUUCCAUUGUAUGGUUUUGGCUUCUUUGUCAAAGAUCAAGUAGCCAUAGCUAAAACCUGAACUCUUGGUCAAAGUUUGCCAUAGCAAAGGCCUGGCUGGACCGUGCUGCCGGACAGGACAGAAGGCACUGGUUUGCUGGGAGUUGCCCUCUUCCCUUCAUCAACAGACUUACUCCAUCAUGCAGCCAUGUGAGGCUGGCGUGGCUUGCCUUUCACAUUUCCUGCCUUCUCUGGUGAUAGGGGAUUUGUUGACAUUUUUCUACAAACCCUGUUGCUAUUAUGAAUCAGAAACAGAUUUCAAGCUCCAGCACUCUCAGAGUUAAGCUGCAUUGAAAAGGAGGG